AGAGUUUGAUCCUGGCUCAGAUUGAACGCUGGCGGCAGGCCUAACACAUGCAAGUCGAACGGUAAGGCCCUUCGGGGUACACGAGUGGCGAACGGGUGAGUAACACGUGGGUAAUCUGCCCUGCACAUCGGGAUAAGCCUGGGAAACUGGGUCUAAUACCGAAUAGGACCACAGAACACAUGUCCUGUGGUGGAAAGCUUUUGCGGUGUGGGAUGGGCCCGCGGCCUAUCAGCUUGUUGGUGGGGUGAUGGCCUACCAAGGCGACGACGGGUAGCCGGCCUGAGAGGGUGUCCGGCCACACUGGGACUGAGAUACGGCCCAGACUCCUACGGGAGGCAGCAGUGGGGAAUAUUGCACAAUGGGCGCAAGCCUGAUGCAGCGACGCCGCGUGAGGGAUGACGGCCUUCGGGUUGUAAACCUCUUUCAGCACAGACGAAGCGCAAGUGACGGUAUGUGCAGAAGAAGGACCGGCCAACUACGUGCCAGCAGCCGCGGUAAUACGUAGGGUCCGAGCGUUGUCCGGAAUUACUGGGCGUAAAGAGCUCGUAGGUGGUUUGUCGCGUUGUUCGUGAAAACUCACAGCUUAACUGUGGGCGUGCGGGCGAUACGGGCAGACUUGAGUACUGCAGGGGAGACUGGAAUUCCUGGUGUAGCGGUGAAAUGCGUAGA
rnacentral:rRNA from 1 species